rnacentral:rRNA from 1 species
UGCGUAGGCGGGCUAAUAAGUCAGUGGUGAAAUCUCUCGGCUCAACCGGGAAACUGCCAUUGAUACUGUUAGUCUUGAGUUCGGUUGAGGUAGGCGGAAUGUGUAUGUAGCGGUGAAAUGCUUAGAUAUUACACAGAACACCAAUUGCGUAGGCAGCUUACUAGACCGACACUGACGCUGAGGCACGAAAGCGUGGGGAGCGAACAGGAUUAGAUACCCUGGUAGUCC